rnacentral:lncRNA from 1 species
CUUCAUUGUACAGCACAGACUAUCACAACAUUGCAAAGCAAUUAUACUCUAAAAAUGUUUAACAAUGAAAUAAAAUCUGUUAUCUAUACAACAAAAUAAUGAGACCCUGCCUAUGGAAGUGUUUUGUAACUCUGCAGAGCUUUAUGAAGGAAAGGCGUUCACCUAGAGAUAGAAUCUACAUAACCACAGUCCAAUUUUCUUUGCCUCAGCAAUCUAAUGAUUGGAGUACUGUUAGGACCAUUUACAGAUGGAAUUUCAGAGGGUCCACAUGGAGAAGGAUCACUUUCUACUCUGGUGGAUCAACCUCACAAAGAAUGCGCAGUGGUGCCUCCCCCUGUGAGCCCACCAUUUCCCUCAAGACCCCAUGGGAAGCCCACUGA